CAGUAGCCGCGGGAAUACGUAGGGUGCAAGCGUUAAUCGGAAUUACUGGGCGUAAAGCGUGCGCAGGCGGUUCUAUAAGACAGAUGUGAAAUCCCCGGGCUCAACCUGGGAACUGCAUUUGUGACUGUAGAGCUGGAGUGCGGCAGAGGGGGAUGGAAUUCCGCGUGUAGCAGUGAAAUGCGUAGAUAUGCGGAGGAACACCGAUGGCGAAGGCAAUCCCCUGGGCCUGCACUGACGCUCAUGCACGAAAGCGUGGGGAGCAAACAGGAUUAGAGACCCCAGUAGUCCCUGUCUCUUAUAC
rnacentral:rRNA from 1 species